UUCUGCGAGCAUCUGCCAGGAUGUUUUCAUUAAUCAAGAACGAAAGUUAGGGGAUCGAAGACGAUCAGAUACCGUCGUAGUCUUAACCAUAAACGAUGCCGACCAGCGAUUAGGAGACGUUGAAUACAAAACACCACCAUCGGCGCGGUCGUCCUUGGCGUCGGUCUUUCGGGGCCGGCGCGAGGGCGGCUUAGCCCGGUGGCACCGGUGAAUGACUCCCUAGCAGCUUGUGAGAA
rnacentral:rRNA from 1 species